AAAUGGGGUCACACUGCAUUCAUUCCAGUGUAGAUGCACUCAUUGUUUGUAUCAUCCCCACUGCAGAAUGAAUGCAGGGUGGCCCUACUU
ensembl:miRNA aca-mir-5453 aca-mir-5453